GACGAACGCUGGCGGCGUGCUUAACACAUGCAAGUCGAGCGGUAAGGCCCUUUCGGGGUACGACGAGCGGCGAACGGGUGAGUAACACGUGGGUGACCUGCCCUCAGCUCUGGGAUAAGCCUGGGAAACCGGGUCUAAUACCGGAUAUGACUCCAUGACGCAUGUUGUGGGGUGGAAAGCCUUGUGCGGCUGAGGAUGGGCCCGCGGCCUAUCAGCUUGUUGGUGGGGUGANGGCCUACCAAGGCGACGACGGGUAGCCGGCCUGAGAGGGCGACCGGCCACACUGGGACUGAGACACGGCCCAGACUCCUACGGGAGGCAGCAGUGGGGAAUCUUGCGCAAUGGGCGAAAGCCUGACGCAGCGACGCCGCGUGGAGGAUGAAGGUCUU
rnacentral:rRNA from 1 species